ACUCCUACGGGAGGCAGCAGUGGGGAAUUUUGGACAAUGGGCGAAAGCCUGAUCCAGCAAUGCCGCGUGCAGGAUGAAGGCCUUCGGGUUGUAAACUGCUUUUGUACGGAACGAAAAAGCUCCUUCUAAUACAGGGGGCCCAUGACGGUACCGUAAGAAUAAGCACCGGCUAACUACGUGCCAGCAGCCGCGGUAAUACGUAGGGUGCGAGCGUUAAUCGGAAUUACUGGGCGUAAAGCGUGCGCAGGCGGUUAUGUAAGACAGAUGUGAAAUCCCCGGGCUCAACCUGGGAACUGCAUUUGUGACUGCAUGGCUAGAGUACGGUAGAGGGGGAUGGAAUUCCGCGUGUAGCAGUGAAAUGCGUAGAUAUGCGGAGGAACACCGAUGGCGAAGGCAAUCCCCUGGACCUGUACUGACGCUCAUGCACGAAAGCGUGGGGAGCAAACAGGAUUAGAAACCCUUGUAGUCCCAUGA
rnacentral:rRNA from 1 species